ACAAAGGGGGAAAAGUAAAAAAAUUUCCCCCGAAAUCCUGUAUUCACCCCAAGUUCCUUUAAAACUUACAAUAAAAACUUGCAAAAAGACCACCUCGUACGGUGGCGCUUAAUGCAUAUGCGA
rnacentral:misc_RNA from 1 species